ACACGUAGGGGGCGAGCGUUGUUCGGAAUCAUUGGGCGUAAAGGGCGUGCAGGCGGUCCUGCAAGUCCGGCGUGAAAGACCCCGGCCCAACCGGGGGGACGCGCUGGAAACUGCGGGGCUUGAGUACAGGAGGGGAUGCCGGAAUUCCAGGUGUAGGGGGGAAAUCUGUAGAUAUCUGGAAGAACACCAAUGGCGAAGGCAGGCAUCUGGCCAUGUACUGACGCUGAGACGCGAAGGUGCGGGGAGCAAACAGGUUUAGAUACCCUGGUAGUCCGCACAGUAAACGAUGUGCACCAGGUGGCGGGGGGUCGACCCUCGGUACCGUAGCUAACGCAUUAAGUGCACCGCCUGGGGAGUAUGCUCGCAAGGGUGAAACUCAAAGGAAUUGACGGGG
rnacentral:rRNA from 1 species